rnacentral:pre_miRNA from 1 species
UUAUUACUCCCUCCGUCCAGAAAUACUUGUCCUAGAAAUAGAUGAAAUGGAUGUAUCUAUAAUUAAAAUAAGUCUAGAUACAACCAUUCCUAAGACAAGUAUUUCCGGACGGAGGGAGUAUUAG